rnacentral:lncRNA from 1 species
UGGUUGGAUGAGUUCUUCACUUUUUUUUGUUGAUCAAAAUUCAAAAAUCUCAAGUGGAUCUGGAGCAUUACUAUUCGCUGUUAGUCGCAAACAAAGAUUUGGGCCUGUUAUGCUUAGCAACAAAAUAAAGAUGGACUUGAUAAUUAUAUACCUUGUUUUGCGAACAUGCUCUUUUGGUCGACAAUUUGGUUUGAUAAAAAGCCUGGGCCAUCAGCCCAGCAGAUAUUUUUUUCUAGGAUCAACCCAGCAUAAUGAACCCACCUUAAUGCAUAAAUAUGCAAGCCCACUACUUUUUUUUUUUUUUUGUCACAAGAUACUUUCUCGUAUAUCGAGGAGUACAAAAGCCGCAGCAGGAGUUUCUUUCGUUCAAGAAAGUUUACUAUCUACUCCUCGGACAUGCAUCGAUGACCGGGAACAUUAGACAAUAAAACUUUAAUGUCCGACAAGAAAACACCGUAAGAGGUCUCGCUGUCAUUAAUCCGUCCAUUCUCCUACCUGAAAAAUACAAUACAAAAACAUUGUAAGGUCAUGCCGACAAUAAAAUAAGAAAACUAUUUAAAAUGACAAAUGAAAAAGGUCAAAACCAUAAUUAAAUUAAAGAAAUAAGAUAAGUAUAUAAUAUAAUUUUUUAAAAAGAACAGUAAGUCAAAAAUAAUGUUAAACAAAUCAUAAAAAUCUACACCAAAGAGAUAAGAAAUCUCUUUGGUUAGAUACAUAAUAAAAUAACUCCCAUCUGAAAAUAACUGACAUAUAUAAUAACAAAUAUUUAAAAUAAGAAAAUAUAAUUGGGAUAUGGAAAACAUAGUUAAGAUAUAACUCGUCAAAUAUAAGACAAAAUCUUGGCAAAACAAAUGUCACGAUUAUAACUAAUUAUCAUUAUCAACGCAAUACAAAUUUGGUAUACACCAAUCAAUUAACCAACCAUUAAUAGCGCAAUAAUACCUCAUUAAGGCACAAUAAAUUUGGUAUACACCAAUUAAUCCAUCAACCAUUAAUGGCGCAAUAAUACCUCAUUAAGGCACAAUUAAACCAUUUUAUAUGGCCCCAUGAAUUAUGAAAUUCAGGUCCAACAAUAAAAAUAUUUAAAUUAAGGCAUGUAGAGAAAGUCAAAUUCCAAAUUUGAGCAAAUUUAAAAAGAAUCAACUUGCCAUUCAAAAAUAAAAUUAAUAUCUACAAUUACUAUUACUAAAACAACCUAUCCCAAAUUUCAAUACUAAAAACUAAAUCAUGCAACAAAAAUAGUCCAUCAGAAUAAUCAAUGGGCACUAAUUUAGUCACCCUACGCCACCUCCAUUCCCAUCGUCCAUGAACCUCCAUUACCACCGUCCAAGAAAUAACAAACAUUCAUCAAGAACACUAGCGAAAACUAAUACUCAAAAAGAGGAUACUGAACAAAGUAUAACUAAUCGCAAAUUUAAGUAGAUUCACCAAUCCAAUCUUCUCAAAAUCGGACAAAAUAGAUAGAAGAGACAAUAUACCACCGAGAAAAUCAAAACCACCAGAAAAACAUUUAACAGACCACUACAAAACGCCCAAGAAUCAUAACAAAUCCUAAGAUUAUAACUAUUUAAAUCUUGACAUGCUGAAUGAUAAGAAUCCGAAGCAUCAAGAAAUCAACGAUUUCAAACUAUACAAAGUAAUAGAAAUCUGUAGAGAUGAGGAACAAAGAUGUACCCGUGAUUAAAGAUCCUCCAGAACCGAUGGUGAAAAAUACCUGAUUACGAAGAAAAUCGAGAAUAUGAACGGUAUCAAUCCGAAUGCCGAGAGCGAUCAUGCGGUUGGCAACGGCGAGACACGCGUGGCAUCUACUAGUGGCAACGGUGAGAGCGAUCCUAAGAUGAAAAUGCUUUUGUUUCUAAUUCUUCUUGUUGUUCUACUGAGCUUUUUUGUUACAACUUUUUCUAAGGCAAAAGAUGACCUCUGCAAGCCCACUACUUAAAAGCGAAUCUCUGUCAUUU